UACGGGGGGAGCAAGCGUUGUUCGGAUUUACUGGGCGUAAAGGGCGCGUAGGCGGCGCCGCAAGUCGACUGUGAAAUCUCCGGGCUUAACCCGGAAAGGUCAGCCGAUACUGCGGGGCUAGAGUGCAGAAGGGGCAACUGGGAAUUCUCGGUGUAGCGGUGAAAUGCGUAGAGUAUCGAGAGGAACACCUGCGGCGAAGGCGGGUUGCUGGGCUGACACUGACGCUGAUGCGCGAAAGCUAGGGGAGCGAAGCGGG
rnacentral:rRNA from 1 species